GAUGAACGCUGGCGGCGUGCCUAAUACAUGCAAGUCGAGCGAACAGACGAGGAGCUUGCUCCUUCGACGUUAGCGGCGGACGGGUGAGUAACACGUAGGUAACCUACCUAUAAGACUGGGAUAACUUCGGGAAACCGGAGCUAAUACCGGAUAAUAUUUCGAACCGCAUGGUUCGAUAGUGAAAGAUGGCUUUGCUAUCACUUAUAGAUGGACCUGCGCCGUAUUAGCUAGUUGGUAAGGUAACGGCUUACCAAGGCAACGAUACGUAGCCGACCUGAGAGGGUUGUCGGCCACACUGGACCUGAGACAAGGUACAGACUCCAACGGGAGGCAGCAGUAGGGAAUCUUCCGCAAUGGGCGGAAGCCUGACGGAGCAAAGCCGCGUGAGUGAUAAAGGUCUUGGGAUAGGAAAACUAUGUUAUUAGGGAAGAACAAAAGUGUAAGUAACUGUGCACGUCUUGACGGUACCUAAUCAGAAAGCCACGGCUAACUACGUG
rnacentral:rRNA from 1 species